CAGCGUGGGUCUCAUCCAGGGCUGCAGAGUCUUGCAGUUAAAGUGGCAUGCAGGAUAUGACAUCUGUGUUGAGACACAUUUAUUCAUAUUUGAUGGUGACAUGAAUCCUUUCAGAGGACAGAGUAGCUGGAGACUGCUGGACAAGCCUAGGUUUUCAGGACUGUUAACAUAGGAGGUCUGUAUGCAUUGAUUCUGCAGGGGAGAGGUGGACCCAAGGCUUCCCACUUGCCUGCUCAGAGAUCACUGUGGUCUGGCUGGUUGUCACAUAAAGGUGGGAAUUCAGAUUUUUGCUCCUCAGUCCCCCAGGAAAGUUGAGACACUGGUGCCCAACAGUCUGUCAGCGUCUCGUAAGACCCUUCACCAACAGAUUCACAAGAUUGGAGAGUACCUCAACCUCCCUUGUUAGGGGGAACUCAAAAAAGCCAGGACCCCUCAGCGAGUUUUGCCAAGGUGUCAUCUGCUGCCGGCAACUGCAAGGACUCAUUUUAACAGUUUAUGGAAUAACACUUUUUUAUUAAUACAAAUUGUGACAAAUUAAUAGGGUUUGAAGGUUGUCAGUGAUAGUGUCUACUGCAAAAAUACGUUUAAAGCAAUUUACUGAUACAUAUAUUAAGCAAGCACAAGUUCUGAUACGAACUAAUAGUAUGCUAUGGGAUAAGCACAAGCAAAAGCUCUAGUCCUAAA